rnacentral:rRNA from 1 species
AACGAACGCUGGCGGCGUGGAUAAGACAUGCAAGUCGAACGGGAUUUUUUCCUGUAGCAAUACAGGAAAAAGUCUAGUGGCGAACGGGUGCGUAACACGUGAGCAACCUGCCGUGAAGUGGGGGAUAGCUCGCCGAAAGGCGAAUUAAUACCGCAUGUGGCCAAGGAAGACAUCUUCCUGACGCCAAAGCCGGGGCAACCUGGCGCUUCUCGAGGGGCUCGCGGCCUAUCAGCUUGUUGGUGAGGUAACGGCUCACCAAGGCUAUGACGGGUAGCUGGUCUGAGAGGACGACCAGCCACACUGGAACUGAGACACGGUCCAGACACCUACGGGUGGCAGCAGUCGAGAAUUUUUCACAAUGGGGGAAACCCUGAUGGAGCGACGCCGCGUGGAGGAUGAAGGUUUUCGGAUUGUAAACUCCUGUUAUUAGAGAACAAGGCACACGGUUUAACUGACCGUGUGUUGAUAGUAUCUGAAGAGGGAGAGACGGCUAACUCUGUGCCAGCCGCCGCAGUAA